rnacentral:rRNA from 1 species
UACGGAGGGGGCUAGCGUUGUUCGGAAUUACUGGGCGUAAAGCGCACGUAGGCGGCUUUGCAAGUCAGAGGUAAAAGCCCGGGGCUCAACCCCGGAAUUGCCUUUGAGACUGCAUCGCUAGAAUUGUGGAGAGGUAAGUGGAAUUCCGAGUGUAGAGGUGAAAUUCGUAGAUAUUCGGAAGAACACCAGUGGCGAAGGCGACUUACUGGACACAUAUUGACGCUGAGGUGCGAAAGCGUGGGGAGCAACAGG